UGGGGAAUAUUGCACAAUGGGCGCAAGCCUGAUGCAGCCAUGCCGCGUGUGUGAGGAAGGCCUUCGGGUUGUAAAGUACUUUCAGUCGGGAGGAAGGUGUCAAGGUUAAUAACCUUGGCAAUUGACGUUACCGACAGAAGAAGCACCGGCUAACUCCGUGCCAGCAGCCGCGGUAAUACGGAGGGUGCAAGCGUUAAUCGGAAUUACUGGGCGUAAAGCGCACGCAGGCGGUUGAUUGAGUCAGAUGUGAAAUCCCCGGGCUUAACCCGGGAAUUGCAUCUGAUACUGGUCAGCUAGAGUCUUGUAGAGGGGGGUAGAAUUCCAUGUGUAGCGGUGAAAUGCGUAGAGAUCUGGAGGAAUACCGGUGGCGAAGGCGGCCCCCUGGACGAAGACUGACGCUCAGGUGCGAAAGCGUGGGGAGCAAACAGG
rnacentral:rRNA from 1 species